AAAGGGAGACCUAAUUCGGGUAUGGGACGAAAAAAAAGUAGUCGCUACCAAGAAUCAAUCCCAAAAGGUCGGAACGAGGUAUGUGGCUUUCAAACUAGGUUCUGGGUUCAUAAAAGACCCGAAUCAGGAACAAGGGCUAUUAGCUCAGGUGGUUAGAGCGCACCCCUGAUAAGGGUGAGGUCCCUGGUUCGAGUCCAGGAUGGCCCACCUGCACAGGUGGUAAAAACAAAGAAAAGAAGCGAGGAAUCAGCACCUUAUCUUACUUAUAUAGUAAGAGAGAAUGCUGGCUCUGAGUAAAGAGUCCAGAGGAACCUUGAAAACUGCAUAGAGCUAGGUGAAAAAGCCAAAAAAGAAGACCGCAAG
rnacentral:tRNA from 1 species